rnacentral:rRNA from 1 species
AUUGAACGCUGGCGGCAGGCCUAACACAUGCAAGUCGAACGAGUGGCGGACGGGUGAGUAAUGUCUGGGAAACUGCCCGAUGGAGGGGGAUAACUACUGGAAACGGUAGCUAAUACCGCAUACCAUCGGAUGUGCCCAGAUGGGAUUAGCUCUUAGGUGGGUGAACGGCUCACCUAGGCGACGAUCCCUAGCUGGUCUGAGAGGAUGACCAGCCACACUGGAACUGAUACACGGUCCAUACGCCGACGGUAGGCAGUAUUGGGGAAUAUUGCACAAUGGGCGCAAGCCUGCGUCAGCCAUGCCGCGUGUAUGAAGAAGGCCUUCGGGUUGUAAAGUACUUUCAGCGAGGAGGCGUUACUCGCAGAAGAAGCACCGGCUAACUCCGUGCCAGCCGCCGCGGUAAUAC